CCUACGGGAGGCUGCAGUGAGGAAUAUUGGUCAAUGGACGAGAGUCUGAACCAGCCAAGUAGCGUGAAGGAUGACUGCCCUAUGGGUUGUAAACUUCUUUUAUAUGGGAAUAAAACGUUCCACGUGUGGGAUUUUGUAUGUACCAUAUGAAUAAGGAUCGGCUAACUCCGUGCCAGCAGCCGCGGUAAUACGGAGGAUCCGAGCGUUAUCCGGAUUUAUUGGGUUUAAGGGGAGCGUAGGUGGAUUGUUAAGUCAGUUGUGAAAGUUUGCGGCUCAACCGUAAAAUUGCAGUUGAAACUGGCAGUCUUGAGUACAGUAGAGGUGGGCGGAAUUCGUGGUGUAGCGGUGAAAUGCUUAGAUAUCACGAAGAACUCCGAUUGCGAAGGCAGUUCACUGGACUGCAACUGACACUGAGGCGCGAAAGUGUGGGUAUCAAACAGGAUUAGAUACCCUGGUAGUC
rnacentral:rRNA from 1 species